rnacentral:rRNA from 1 species
UACGGGGGGGGUAAGCGUUGUUCGGAAUUACUGGGCGUAAAGGGCUCGUAGGCGGCCAACUAAGUCAGACGUGAAAUCCCUCAGCUUAACUGGGGAACUGCGUCUGAUACUGGAUGGCUUGGAUUCGGGAGAGGAAUGCGGAAUUCCAGGUGUAGCGGUGAAAUGCGUAGAUAUCUGGAGGAACACCGGUGGCGAAGGCGGCAUCCUGGACUACUACUGACGCUGAGGAGCGAAAGCCAGGGGAGCAAACGGG